GUGACCAGGUCUGAGCUCCCUGUCUCUCCUCAGUGACAUCGUCUUUAAACCCUGCGUGGCAAUCCCUGACGCACCGCCGUGAUGCCCAGGGAAGACAGGGCGACCUGGAAGUCCAACUACUUCCUUAAGAUCAUCCAACUAUUGGAUGAUUAUCCGAAAUGUUUCAUCGUGGGAGCAGACAAUGUGGGCUCCAAGCAGAUGCAGCAGAUCCGCAUGUCCCUUCGCGGGAAGGCUGUGGUGCUGAUGGGCAAGAACACCAUGAUGCGCAAGGCCAUCCGAGGGCACCUGGAAAACAACCCAGCUCUGGAGAAACUGCUGCCUCAUAUCCGGGGGAAUGUGGGCUUUGUGUUCACCAAGGAGGACCUCACUGAGAUCAGGGACAUGUUGCUGGCCAAUAAGGUGCCAGCUGCUGCCCGUGCUGGUGCCAUUGCCCCAUGUGAAGUCACUGUGCCAGCCCAGAACACUGGUCUCGGGCCCGAGAAGACCUCCUUUUUCCAGGCUUUAGGUAUCACCACUAAAAUCUCCAGGGGCACCAUUGAAAUCCUGGUGAGUGGACCUGGUUUGCCUGUGCUAACCAGGCAAAUGGGGAGCUGCUUUUAGUGGCCAUGGAUCUGCUCGUUGUCCAACAGGUGUUUACUGCCCCACUAUUAUCUUGUUCAGAGUGAUGUGCAGCUGAUCAAGACUGGAGACAAAGUGGGAGCCAGCGAAGCCACGCUGCUGAACAUGCUCAACAUCUCCCCCUUCUCCUUUGGGCUGGUCAUCCAGCAGGUGUUCGACAAUGGCAGCAUCUACAACCCUGAAGUGCUUGAUAUCACAGAGGAAACUCUGCAUUCUCGCUUCCUGG
rnacentral:sRNA from 1 species